AUUGAACGCUGGCGGCAUGCCUUACACAUGCAAGUCGAACGGCAGCACGGGGGCAACCCUGGUGGCGAGUGGCGAACGGGUGAGUAACACAUCGGAACGUGCCCAGUAGUGGGGGAUAGCUCGGCGAAAGCCGGAUUAAUACCGCAUACGACCCUACGGGUGGAAAAGCGGGGGAGUCGCAAGACCUCGCGCUAUCGGAGCGGCCGAUGUCAGAUUAGGUUGUUGGUGGGGAAAGGCCUACCAAGCCGACGAUCUGUAGCUGGUCUGAGAGGACGGACCAGCACACUGGGACUGAGACACGGCCCAGACUCCUACGGGAGGCAGCAGUGGGGAAUUUUGGACAAUGGGCGCAAGCCUGAUCCAGCCAUGCCGCGUGCGGG
rnacentral:rRNA from 1 species